rnacentral:lncRNA from 1 species
GCCGUGCUGAGCGGCACCGCCCUUAUCUGCCUCCUCGGUUUCCCCUUCCCCGCCCGGCGGCGGCAGGACCCAGGUGGGAGAGGGGCGGUGCCAGACGCCCUGAAGGAGGGCCGGGCUGACUGCGGGCUGUGGUUGCCGCCCGCGAGGGAGGGGUUGGGCGGAGGAGGCCGGGCUCAACUUUGACAGGAGCGAGCGAGGGAGGGAAGGAAGGCAGGAAGGCGCCGCUGCCGGGGCUGCGUUCGCUGUGCGCAGGUAGUUGUGAUGGUGCAUGAUGCAAAGCAGUGAUCUUCAGGAAGCAAGCAAGAUAUCAUCAUAUCAUCCAUACUGCUUGCAAUUAACCCAUCUCAUCCUGAACAAGGAAACUAUGAAUAUUACAUUGAAAAGUUAAAGCACUAAGAAAGAUCAUUACUGGAAACUGUUGCUUCAGGGAAAGGUCAUUUUUAUCUUCUAUUCAGUUCAGAUUCACUUUGAAUACAAAUUGCCUCCUGUGUGUCCAUGGGAACAGCUACACUGCAGGACUGAUAGCAGCAGCUCUUUGGGCUACGUGUGCUCCUCUGUUCUCCAGAGCUGACCUCCCUCUUCUGCAUUUUAGCUAGAUUCUGCCUGCUGGCCAAGCAAGUCUAGGGGAUACUAUCUUGCCACCAGUUGUUAUCCCACAGUAAAAAGAUUCACUAAAAGUAUGUGAACUUGCUUUUAUAUGCCCAUACCCCAUAAUUGUAAAGAGUGGUUUCUGUUUGAAGAGCCUGUAUGUAUUUGGUGAAGAAAACUUGUUUAUUUUUGCUCUUUUAUGCCAUUUUCAAACUGUUUUUGUUUCUGUUGGAUGUGGACUAAGCAACAUGGAGUGCUUAGUGACUAUCAGCUUAAUAUUCUGAUCUGCCGACAAAACCUCACAGAAACAAAUAUGGGUUGUAGCAGUUGCUUUUUCAUAACAGCCUACAGCCUGCUGUCCACAUAAAUUGAUAUCUUAGUGUAAAUAUUUUGAUGUGAUUGUAUGCUAUUGAGAAUUAUUAGUAUUGGAAAUAUAUGUAUACGUGAGAAAUUAUGUUUGCAUCUCGUAACUAUUGAUGGAGUCAGC